UACGUAGGGUGCAAGCGUUGUCCGGAUUUAUUGGGCGUAAAGAGCUCGUAGGCGGUCUGUCGCGUCGGAUGUGAAAACCCAAUGGCUUAACCUUGGGCCUGCAUUCGAUACGGGCAGACUAGAGUGUGGUAGGGGAAACUGGAAUUCCUGGUGUAGCGGUGGAAUGCGCAGAUAUCAGGAGGAACACCGAUGGCGAAGGCAGGUUUCUGGGCCAUAACUGACGCUGAGGAGCGAAAGCGUGGGGA
rnacentral:rRNA from 1 species